ensembl:lncRNA
AGCAGGGGGGAAGGGUGGGAGAAAGAAAAGGAGUGGGAGGGAGGACUGGAAAUGUAAAUUAUGUGCCAGGAAAUGAAUUCCUUACAAUGUCUCUUGCCAGAAGCUAAAUCCUAGUACAUGUAAGUCAUCUUUUUUCCCUUUCUUUUGCUCUUUGCACAGUUCCUCUGAGGGUCAGAGAGGAAGGAGCAGGGACAGGGAGAGGGGAGAUUCAGUGUUUACUUACUUAUUGUGUGACGAAAGAGCUAUACGAUCCAGCUUUAUCAUCAGAAGGCAUGUGACACCAUAAAAGAGAUGAACAGGAUAAUAUCCUGCUUCUCAUUAGAGGGGAUUUUUUCAUCUUACUUUAUUUGGCCACAGGGAUUCUUCAAGGGUUGAAAUACCAGAAGAAAUGUGUUUCUGUUCAGAGGCUGAGUGUACUUACUGCACUGUAUUUGAUAAUGAAAUGGGGUCUUAUUUGUUUGACUUUACAACUCUCUGUGAAAUAUAGCCUCUGCUUAUGUUUGGUUUUGUUUAAGGAAUUACCUGCAGCAUCUUUGAAUGCUGUAGAAAUGUAUGCCAAUGACCCAUGCUCAACUUGGGGACAAAAAUGACAAGACUUAUGUUUGAGGUUUGGUGUUUUUUCCAGAAUGUAGCAGAAAACAUCUGGCAGAAAGUUUAACUUUGAUAACAAACCAAAGUACACUUCCAGCUUGUAAGAGAUCAAUGAAAUAUGAUGCAGUGAGCAGAAUGAGUAAUGAAGCUGGACACAAAGUAAUUAUUUAAUGCAGCAACAUUUAUUGGGCAUUAUGAAAGGUACUCCUUCCAUAUUUUUUUUCCUUCCCAGCUCAGACAGUACAGGAUACCACCUAUCUCAGCAUGUGCAAUGCUGUGGACAAAACCAGUAUCAUUUUCUUUGAAGAUAUUUUUUCCCAAAAAUGCAGCAUUUCUAGGACUUCUUGAGCUACAGUUUUCAUCUAAGAGCUGCCUAGAAUUGCACAUUCUCCCCUUCAAAACUCAUCUCAAGAGCAACUUAAAAAGAGUUUUGAUUACACAAGUUGCUGUGCCAUAGGAGAAAUAUUGAUGGGGAGAUAGGACUGCAUCCAGUGUCUGUUGUGACAGAUGAAAGGUAAGUAAAUUAAUUCAGACUUUCUCUUCUUUCCUGAUCCUGUCCUUAGAGCAAACUGUGGCCAAAAGGAGAGACAACAAUGUAAAGUGGUCAGUUUUCCCUUGUAGUAUUGGCUAACGGAAAGAGGAAGAGAGGUAGGUGGGCUGUGACUAUACAUCAGAUGUGAUCCAUGGGACAGCACAGCCAGUUUAGAGCAAAAUCCUGCUAUUGGUAAAGGAGAAAGAAAAUAGGAAACAGGAUACAGCCUAUGUUUCCACUGCAACCUAUUCCUAACUUCUUACAUCAUUUAUAGUGUCCACAGAUCAGUUGUUGAUGUAGUCCAUGCUGACUUAUUUUAGAAACUCUGCAGUUUUGUAUAUGGUAUUAAAGGACCAUUCCACCUAUUAAACAAUAUACAUAGAAAAACAAACCUUUCUUUAUGUCUACUUUUAGGGGUGUUUACUUCACUGACCUCCUUUGAUACCAUCCUCUCAAAUAAAAAUAUUCCUGCUACUAAUGUGGUCUGUAUU